rnacentral:rRNA from 1 species
GACGAACGCUGGCGGCGUGCUUAACACAUGCAAGUCGAACGGAAAGGCCCUGCUUGGGUGGGGUGCGCGAGGGGCAAACGGGUGAAAAACACGUGAGUAACCUGCCUGUGACUGUGGUAUAACUUCAGGAAAGUGGGGCUAAUACCGGAUAGGAGCUCCUGGUGCAGGGGGGGGGUGGGAAAGUUUCGGGGGUUGGGGAUGGACGCGGGGCUUAUCAGCUUGUGGGUGGGAGAGUGGCUUACCAAGGCUUUGGGGGGUCGCCGGCCUGAGGGGGUGACCGGCCACAUUGGGACUGGGAUACGGCCAAGACUCCUCCGGGAGGCAGCAGUGGGGAUUAUUGACCAAGGGGCGGAACCCGGAUGCACCACCGCCGCGUGGGGGAUGACGCCCUUCGGGUGUUAAACCGCUUUCGCCUGUGACGAAGCGUGAGUGACGGUAAUGGGUAAAGAAGCACCGGCUAACUACGUG